ensembl:lncRNA
UAUAUAUAUUAUGAUUAUAUAAAUGUGUUAUUCCUCUUAUUUCCCGCAAUUCCAUUUUUUUAUCCAUUAAACAAUAAUGGAUAUUGGAUAACAAUAAACUGUCAUUCCUUCUCAUAAACUGUCAUUCUCUGUCUCGAGGUUAAUAAGUCGCAACAAAAAAUGCAGCUUCUCAUGUCUCCGAGAAACCGCCAAAAAAAGAAUAGUAAAAGUCCUCUGUUCCGAAAGAUCUCGGAAAGCCGUUACGCCAUUACAAAGCAAUGAAACUGGAGACUCCUUCCAACAGUUCCACAUGUGAUUAAAUCUGGCACGUAUUCUGUACAAACCCCUGUGUAGGUUGUUAUUACAGGUUAUAAUAAAUUAAUCGACCGGUUCUGACCCGCUCAGAAGCAGGAAUUAAGGAGCGCCGUGAUAUAAAAGUGUAUAGAAUUGUACCCAAGGACGCAAAUUUGCGACACAAUGCAAGUUUAGUCAGUUGUAGACACCGGGUCACACGGUGCUAUACUGCCCCCUUAGUCUUUAUGGUGGUAUUGCAUGACGCAGUGUUAAUUUCUGAGAACGUGGCGGCCAUUUUGCAUAAAUUAAAACUAUAAUGCAGGUUUAAAGCUAAUGUUCUUACUGAUUUUCCCAAAUUAGCCAUGCAGUAACUGUACAGCUGUAGUCAAACUCAAAGCAAAGAGCUUGCGGGAGCCUCUGUUUUUCUUUUUAAACGCCCUGUUGUUUUAAUGGAUUUAUUUGUUUAUGUCUUGAGGUAGCCAGUUUAAUCCAUUAUUCAUAAAUUCAACCCGGAUAGCAGCAGUAACGACGCAUAGCUGGGGCUUAGGAUCGGCCAGUUAUUCGUUUCUGUACACUUCAUAACGAGCACCGCUAAACCAAAAUGCGGUUUUUGCACGGUCAUUGCACAAGUCUUUUUUUGUUGUUUUUUAAGAGAGAGAGAGAGAGAGAGAGAGUAUGUGAGCAAAUAAAUCCAUAAUGGCUGCAUCGCCGAUGCGCAGAAUGAAAUGUCAGAAUGAAUCUGAUUUGCACUGUACACGGGUUUUUCAUUGCUGUUAUUGAGUAAGGAUUUGUUUUCUGUGUCACAGUCUGUCUGUAAAUGGUAGCAAAGAUGAGAAGAAUAUAUUUGUUUCAGUUCAGACAUAUCUAAGAAGCAAACUAAAGCUGUGUUGCAUUAAGGUUUCUCUGUGUGUGUGUGUGUGUGUGUGUGUGUGUGUGUGUGUGUGUGUGUGUGUGUGAAAGCGUCAUCCAUGAGGCUUGGGGCUCAGGUAAAUCAGGUCUAUUAUGCUGAAUUAUAACCCUUACAUCCUGUUCACGCAACACAUUUACAAAACAAAUGUGUUUUUUUCUUUAAAUUAUCAAUUAAAUGAAACUUAAGGCUUUAUUUUUAAACAAUCGUAAUAAAAUGGCGUAAAUGAAUACCCCAAAUUAUAGCAAAUUCCUCCUAAAAAGCUCAGGUGUUCUUGACGUCAGGACUUUCUCUCAUUAGGUACUCAAUUACCGCCAACGUUUUUCGUUGAUGUGAUGUCACGGCACAUUUCUGUAAUUAGAUACGCUUUGUUUACGAACGAUUCGAUCUUUCCGAACGAGUCAGUAAAGCGAACGAAUACUUUCGCUCAGGUGCUGCUUUGCAACUGGAAACCAUCAAAAGGGGUUUGCUUUAUGUACUUAACUGUCUCGUGUUUAUUAAACGUCUGCGGAUUGUGUACCGUAAGUGGUGUGUAUUGCAAACCUGAGAUGUGCGCCAUCUUUCAUUCGUAACCAAGAGUCACUCUUCUCUCAUUUGGGCCAGUGUGCGUUUGAAUGAGUGAAUCAGUCUGUGUGUGAAUCUUUGGGGUGAUAACUUAAGAUUCACUCCUCUCUCAAUCGACUCAGAAUGUGAAUCAGCAAAUACUUUGAUCAUGCCUGAGAUUCACUUCUCUUUCAGGUCAGUGAGUGAAUCACUGACUCUUUUAAUCAUGACCGAGAUUUGAUCUUCUCUCAUUUGGGUGAGUGUAUGAAUCUCCAAACUUCACUCUUCUCUCAUCAUGGGCCAGUGUGUGAAUCAGUCAGUGUGCGAAUCAGUGAAUCUUUCGAUCAUAACUAAAAUUCACUCUUCUCUCAUUCGACUCAGAAUGUGAAUCAGCAAAUAAUUCGAUCAUGACCAAGGUUUGCUGCUCUCUCUUUUGGGUCAGUGUGUGAAUCAGUGAAGCUUUCAGUAAUGAACGAGAUUCGCUCCUUUUUCAUUUGGGUCAGUGUGUGAAUCAGUGAAUCUUUUGAUCAUAACUAAGAUUCACUUCUCUCUUAUUCAGGUCACUGUGUGAAUCAGUGAAUUAUUUGGUAACAACAGAGAUUCGAUCCUCUCUCAUUUGGGCCAGUGUGUGAAUUAGUCAGUGUGUGAAUCAGUGAAUCAUUUGAUCAUAACUAAAAUUUACUCUUCUGUCACUGGGGCCAGUGUGUGAAUCAGUUAAUCAUUUGGUAAUGACAGAAAUUCGAUUCUCUCUCAGUCAGGUCGAUGUGUGAAUCAGUGAAUCAUUUGGUAAUGACAGAGAUUCAAUCCUCUCUCAUUUGGGUUGAGGUGUGAAUCAGUUAGUGUGUGAAUCAGUGAAUCAUUUGAUCAUAACUAAAAAUUACUCUUCUGUCACUGUGGCCAGUGUGUGAAUCAUUUCGUCAUGACAGAGAUACGCUCCUUUGUUGAGUCACUGAAUUCAACGAGUUCCGUUCAGGCUGUUUUAAUCAGAGCUGGAGAUUUCUAGUGCUUCAGUCAUAUCUCUUUGAGUUUUAUUAUUAUUGCAGCUCAUAAGCAAUAGAAACAUUUUCCACAGGCUCUUUUUCUCUGGAAAUUAAAUCUCAUGAAACAUCAUAUUAUGUUUUGCAGAAAUUUUUUGUCAUCAUAUUUUCACUGAGAUAAAGAUAAGAUUUAUUGGGGACUUAAAAAAAUAGAUGCUACAUUACUAUACAAUCUAAACAGUGAACAGAAUAUGAGGGUUAAAUAAGACAGCAGUAAAGAGUCAGAGACCUAAGCCUCGAGUUUCAAGCCUCAUUUAUAACACGCUUCAGACUUAGAGGACUCGCAGAACCUCGGGGUACCAACUCCAGGCAUCUUCACAUUACCGCAUGCACCAUCACAAAUACUUACAGAAGAUACUAUUUAAAAUCGUUGACUUUUAAAUGUAUUGUGAAGUGUUUUUUUUUUUUCUUUUUCUGUCUGCCAGGAAACUAUUUCUGUGUGUAUAUGUAUGUAACAGAAGCGUAUCAGAAGAAUCUUCACCAAAAAGCACGUUCUUAAGUAUUUGUGCCUAAACUAUAGCCAUACAUCACCCGUUGCAUCAUUCCUGAUGUGUACACGCACGGACGAGUGUGUAUCCAUUCGACGUCUUCUCAAAAAUCACCUUUGCGAGAUGGCCGAACGUACAAAAUUAAGUCAAAUCUCUAAAACACAGGCGGAGAAAACAUACGUUGCCUUCGAGUCCUGUUGGAAAUAUCGUAACGACGAGAUAUUACGUACAAACAUGCGGCUAUACCGUCAUUUCUAGCAUUCUAGAAACCCACGAUUGAGCGGUUGUAUCACUGUCGGUUCUGUAAUUAUCUAACGUUUAUUUAGUUGCCACUAAAUAAAUAAACAAAUGUGACCGUGUGCGACGCAGAAACUCGUCCUCCUGCGUUAACGUAGCUGCUGCAAGAGUUUUAUCGUCGUGAAGGAGAUGUUCGAAGAAGUUCAGAGAAACCAAUCCCGUCCGAACAGAGGUCUGAUUUUAGAACUGAGGAAUUUGUCUGUUCACAAUUUCCACGUAUUGUUAGUGGUGAAAAUCAUACGGUGUGAAGAAGCCUUCCCGGGACGAAAAAUUUCUCCAGGCCACAUGUUUUAUUUCUCUCCAAAUACUUUUGUGCUCAUAUCGUGCUGUUCUUAACACUUGUAAAAAAAGAAAAAAUGAAAGAAAAAAAAAGUAGGAUCUUCUGAGACGGAUCUUCUGGAAGGCAGCAAAAGGACCGUGCAUGUCUGUUCAUCUUUACCGUACUUUCCUGGCAAAUACGACACGCCUCGUUAAAGUCGUCGUGUUAAAAUCCUGUAAUGAAGUUCCUGUCUAGCUUCUCAGUUUCUUUCGAUUCACUCCUGCUAUGAAAAAUGCUAAUUUCAGCUAAAAGUAGAGUAUCUUCCCACAGCGGUUUAAUAAUUACAAUAGAACUAGAUUAAUAUCCAGGAAUACAGGCGUAUAUCAUGCGUCUGUAUGGAAUAUUAUUGAUCGGUAGCUUGCAAUUUUUACAGUGAAUCGUUCAGUAAAAAUGCUAGCAUAUCAGUUAGCAAAAACGCAGCCAUGCUGAGAAUCCGGACAUUAAUUUGGCGACAGUUUGGUGUUGGGCAGCUGUGAUUUUGAUAAAAUUUUUGAUGCGUGUUGCGACUAAACUCUAACAAAAUUUUCUGUGUAAAAUACAACUGCUAAUAAUGACACACCAAAAUAAAAAGAUCUUACAGUCCAAAAAACUGUUAACUAACACAUGUCGUGUAGGUCUGGGAUGCGAAUAAACGAAUGUAUAAAGUUCCAGAGCACUUGUGAAAAUGAAUUCUAGCUAGUAGCGCUAGUUUGGUUUGGAUUCAUUAGACUGCGUGGAGCAAAACCGGCCAAAGCGAAACAUUCUUCGAAUUGCACUUUCCGAUAGCUGAACGUUUCGGUAUGAAACGUUGUGUUUAGUUUGAUUUGGGACAUUAUAAUGAUAACGUGAGAUGUCACCUCUCUCUAUGCCGUAGUUUAGAUGGUGUAGUGUAGCGUAGAGGUGUGCGAGGGACUUUGCAGUUCUUAUUAUUGUUCAUAUUCCUAACUGUCUGCGAUAUUUGUUUCCAAAAAAAUAAACAAACUAGUCGUUUUUAAAUCACGUGACCCGAUGUGACGUUCACAAUAUCGGUAUCAUCGCUUGUAGUUUGUCUCUUGUGGGCAUGUACUGACUGCUACUUCUGUUGCGUAUGGGAGUGGCCUGUCCAGUAGUAGCUAUAAUGUAUAUUAAAGCUAACUAAUCAGGAUUUCACAGAUUUUUUUUUUAAAUUUAAACGCUUGAUUUUGGUGCGCCGUUUUUCUAAAUUUGUGAUGCAACUUGCCGAGUCUCUUGUGCUUUUUUUGUGGAAAACUACUCAAAUUGGUGAAAUGGCGAUGGCACAAAAUUGUUUUGCGCGCUCUUUCGCAGUGAUGUUUGUUGAUAAAUUAGAGCUUUUACGUAGCUGUACUCAUGUGCGAUGCACGUGAAUCGAAGAGGGCCUUGGCCGAAUGCGCUGUGCGUUGUGAUGACAUCACAUGACAAUCUUCUUUAAUUUUGAAAAAUUUCAAAUGUUGCAGAGUUUCAUUGAUUUCGCGUUCAUUUAUGUGAUCGCAAUAUCGCCAAAUCCAGGAGGGACUGACUAGUUAAAGAGAAAUGAAUGAAAUACUAUCCGGUGUGAAAAUUAACUGUAUAUCUUACGUUCUCUGCUUAUUAGCGCAAGCUUCGUUUUCAGAUUAGAUUAGCGAAAAAGAAAAUGAACUGUACUAGCUAGGUACACUCACGAGAGGCACCGGCGAUCUCUUUAUUUUUCUUCGUAACGUCUCCAUGCAUAUUAAAUGUACCUAUGCGACAAGAUAAAAUAAAACCAUUAUAAGUUGCCGUUAUACGUUUUUCUUCCUUUUUUUUUUUUUUUUUUUUUACGUCAAACAGUGGAGAACUGAAGAAACGUCGGACCGCAUGCGCUGCAGGAUUGGUCCGAGGAAUAAUUCGAGCGGAUCACUUGCAUUUGUCACUUUACAGCGUCAUAAUUAUCGUAAUUUAGAUAGAAUUUAGAUAGAAAACAUUUCAGUUCAAAUGUUACCUGUUGCUGAAAUCCUUGAUCUGUUUCAAACAUGUACGUAGUAAACGAACAGGCGUCUGUCUGUCUGUCUGUUAUAGCAUUUACUAAACAUUAAUCAAGUAUGUUCAUGUUAAUAAACAUGGCCUUUCUUUGUCAUGCAAGCUUUUAAGUAAAUAAAAUCUGAAUUUUUGUUGUGAGUUUCCGUGAGAUCCCAGUCCUGAUGCACACCUCUAAACUAGCGUAGAUUUAGUAACGGUCAACUGCAGCUAUUUUUCGAUACAGCACUUUGCCUUUAGAAGAGAAAUGCUUCCUGCGUUUAACAUGUUUGGCUCACUUUAUCGAUACACACGCGUGCGUGACCACAUUAAAAACAAAUAAACACCAGUCGUUCAGUACGGAAGCAUUCGAGAAACCAGCACGUAGAUUCCUAUCGGGUUUUUUUUUCCAUCCUUUCGUCUUUGUCUUUGUGUGUGUGUGUGUGUGUGUGUGUGUGUGUGUGUGUGUGUGUGUGUAUGAAAACUAAAAAGAACAAAAGAGAGACCGUGCUGCAAAUAAACAAGGGCAUAAAACCCAAAGUCUCCUGGAUGCAUGUGUGAUUAUCAUUUCAUUUCCUGCAUGAUGACAAACGAGGCGAGGGGGGGAAAAAACGCUACGAAGCCAGCUCAUCGUUUCAUUGUGCUCAUUGUGUGCGUUUAAAAAAAAAAAAAGAAAAAAAAGAAUAUAUAAUUAACAGGAGAAAAAAAAAGAAACUGGGUUAUUUGAUCUGGAAAGAUGACGAAUGAUGAAAACGUAUACUUUCUUACAACUUUAUGCAGACAAAUUCUUUUUUUCUGUUUUUUUUCUGUUCGUUUGUAAAUAAUAAACCUUUAAACUCUAGAGGGAGAGAGAAAAAUAAAAGAAAUAUUGUCAUUUACCAUUGUGUCUGUUUGUAUUUUCUUCUCUUUUUUCCCCUCUGAUUAUUUUAUAGCUAGAUAAUAAACUUAACAUGUUAGCUAUCAUCUGGAAUGUGCAGUAUUGUUUCCUAAAUAUUAGCCAGAUAAUUAGCUAGCUGUAAACAUGUAUACAUGACUGUUCAUGUGGUAGAGGUUAGCUAAUGUUAGCUAAAAUUAGCUUGCACUCUCCAUAUUAGCUAAACUAAUUAUUUGAGAAGCCUUAGCAAAACUUAAGCUGCAAAAGAUUUGCUAAGGCUUCCCAAAUUAUAACUUUUCCCCCUGUUAUAAUUUUUUUCUUCUUCUUUUGUUUCUCAGCUCCUUGUGAUUAGCACUGCUUGGAUGCUAACUUCUCUGAUGCUAGCUUCUCUGAUGCUAGCUUCUUAUGGCGUUACUGUAUAUCCGUUUGGUGCUUUUGUAAUAUUUCAGGCCUGAAACAAGCUUACAGUAUCUAGCACAAUAAAUGAAGAAAGGAGACACAAACAUACAUAAACUAAUAUACUGUAUUUCUGUGUUAUUCAUUAAUUAACACUGAAAUAUUUAGUCUGCCAGACUUAGUUUGCCACCAGAGUGUCAACAUUUCUGUGCGUUCCCUGCACUGUCUGGACAUUCUGUUCCCAGAAAGAAAUUAAGGCAAAGUGCACACACACACACACACA